GCGAACCUACUUCCGGUUCUCUUCCUGAUUCACUCGACAAAGAAAGACCACGCCGUACUAUCACUCCCGCAAACUAUCAAAUACGGAAAAAACUAUGGAAAUGAUUUGUCUCAAUCCUUGCUUCUGCGCUUGACCCGAGACACAAACACCUUCGGUUUUUGGAUCCAGCACUUUGCCUCCGCACCCAAGAGAAGCUUUCGGAACUGCAUGACGGGGUUACAUUGCAAGGCCCAGAUGACAUGGGGGAAAGCAGUGAAGCACGAGCCUGCAGCGUCGAAAGCACUUCACAGGCACCUGACACCCUCUUCGGGGAGGACUACUUCGUAAAUACUAGCGAUGUCAACGAGCUAGAAGCGUAUUUCAAUGAGCCAUGCAUCCGUCCACAUCAAAACCCCAUGGAGUGGUGGAAGUCCAACGGGGAUCGGUACAAAAAACUGAGCGUUCUGGCAAAGCAGCACCUGGUUAUCCCCGCCACCUCCGUGCCAGCGGAGCGAGUGUUCUCCGCCGCGGGACUGAUAGUUAACAGAAUGCGAUCUCGUCUGUCUCCAGAGCACGUCGAUAUGCUGGUUUUUCUCACAAAGAAUUGAUUUCGGUUUUCGCAUAAUGUUUCGGUUUUUUUUAAACCGUUACAGGCCUUUGUUCGACGAUUGUUACUGGCCUUUUUUCGACGCAUAUUUAUUUGUUAUUGUUAAGGAUGUGUUUACUUUUGAACGUUAAUAAGUAAUGUAAUAAUUAAUAAUAGGUUAUAUUAAUAAAUAAUGAAUAGACUCUGCCCAGAUAGCAGAAGAUGUUAUUUCAACGUGGAAUUUUGAUUGAAAUGGUUGAUUUAUGGUGAUGGUUGAAAAUGUGAUGGUGAAUCAACCACUGAAGAAUUGAAAGUUGAAAAAAUGUCAUUGAAUCAACAUUGUAUUAUGGUGGGAUUUAAUGGUUGAAUUGCAAACAUUAGAUCAAUGUUUAAUCAAUGUUGUCAAACCGAUUAGGCGGGACGCAGGAGGAGUGGCGGGAACUGCUAGGUGAGACCAUUAAGAUGAGGGGUUUCAUAUAUUUUUAAUUAUUAUAUCUUUAUUAUUAUAUAUUUUUCAUUAAACAUAAUGCUGUGGACAAUUGAUUGUGAUGUUUCUUUUAACAUUUAUUUUAGGUUAUGUGUGUAACCUUUAAGAGAACAAAUAAAAAUAAGAAACCAAAAACAUAUCUCGCCACUUGUUUGGAACAGUCCAUAUCAGUUUCUAGCUGCUACCGUUACCGUUACGUUACAGAAGAACUCCAGUGCCAUUUUGAGUGAAUGCUUUCCUCAUACCAACUCCUGCUCGAGGCAAAAUCCACUGUAUAUGGACUCGGACUCUGAUGAGCCAUCAAGUGAACCGAAGAAACCACGUCUUUCACGCCCCCCUGAUGUGAGAGUUCCAGCAGCAUGGUCCUCACAACUGGCAAGAAAUGAAACGAUGGCAGCAUCCGCCACUGCGCUGGGCCGUACCACCAGCUGCAGGUCCCACAGAGAGAGGGUACCAGUAUAUCACCAUAUGGUUCCGUGCACAACCCAUUUCGUGCCCCACAAUAUGCACAAAACGAUGUGACCAUGCAAGGUGACAACGGGCAGCUUUUGAAAGGC